rnacentral:rRNA from 1 species
GACAGAGGUGCCGAGCGUUAGGCGGAAUCACUGGGCUUAAAGCGUGUGUAGGCGGGCCGUUAAGUGUCUUGUGAAAUCCCCCCGGCUCAACCGGGGAAUUGCUGGGCAUACUGGCGGUCUUGAGCAAUCUAGGGGCAGAUGGAACAAGUGGUGGAGCGGUGAAAUGCGUAGAUAUCACUUGGAACGCCAACGGUGAAGACAGUCUGCUGGGGAUUUGCUGACGCUGAGACACGAAAGCCAGGGGAGCGAACGGG